rnacentral:rRNA from 1 species
GUGCCAGCCGCCGCGGUAAUACAGAGGUCCCGAGCGUUGUUUGGAUUCACUGGGCGUAAAGGGUGCGUAGGUGGUGGCGUAAGUCGGAUGUGAAAUCUCGGAGCUCAACUCCGGAACGGCAUUGGAAACUGCGCUGCUUGAGGGUUGGAGGGGGGACUGGAAUGCUUGGUGUAGCAGUGAAAUGCGUAGAUAUCAAGCGGAACACCGGUGGCGAAGGCGAGUCCCUGGACAACACCUGACACUGAGGCACGAAAGCUAGGGGAGCAAACAGGAUUAGAUACCCGCGUAGUCC